CUGAAAGGCACGAAAACUCGAAAAGGACAGAUUAGGGGAAACGAAGGGUUUUGCAGAAGCGCCGAGAGCGGUGACAUGGUGAAGAUUGGGGCCACGGAAGGCCCGAAGCAACUUGAUGGUUGCACUGUUUCGAUUACUUGAUCGGCAGACACGAAAUUUAAGGCGCACGACGAGCUCAUCGGGCUAUGCCAACUGCUUGUAAGGGAGAAAAUAAGAACUACAAAAUCAACAAGAUUUUGUCUGAGCAGCAUGAUCUCGAGAUGCUCCUUUUCCAUGUAUCGCCAAGAUAUAAAGGAAGAAGACAGUCAGAAGCAAAAUUGAAAAGAAAGUACUUUAGCCUUGAUUUUGAGUUUAUUGAGUGCCUCUGCCUUUCCACGACAGCCUCAUUAGUUGGUGCGUCCAACCCAAGCGAAUGAUGUUGAGCAUAUGCAGCCGCUGGCAACUGAGCAUUCCCAGUCGCAAAGAGGAAGACGGGCGCACCUGCGAAAGCACUGCCAGAUGUUCAACCGCAGCUUCUCAUUGUUCAACAUACAUCAAUAUGAGUUGUCUGAGCUUCAUGCUUUCGCAAGCUUAUGAACCCCGAUUGGUUAUUUGCAGUUCUUUGAUGUUGAUAUUGACGCUCGUUGCUGACAUCAAAUUUUAGGUUUAAACAGCCUGAUCAGCUGGACCCACGUUAAGAAUGGGCACGGUAGCAAAUGUGCACUUGACAUGAGAUGGCAACUGAUAAUUUGAUGAUCCAUUACAUGUAGUAGCCAUUACGUGCACAUCUCAAUUCAGAUGCAUUUGGAGAGAAAUCUUGCACUGCUAAUGAGACAACAAAGAGGAAGGUGGUUGAUGCGUCUUUGGCCGUAAGGAUUAUCCUUCCGCAAAAAAGAAGACACAUAUUGGAGUGUGAAGAAAGAAGAGAAUAAUGUUUGAAGAAGGAAGAGUGGGGGAAACUUUACGUGUAGAUAAUAAAGCAUUCAGAAAAAACAUAAGAAGAAAGCAAUUGCAGCACAAAUUAGUCUUUUUGGCUUUUUUUUUUUUUGGCAUCUUGGAACUUUUAGUCGAAGACGAAUAAUAAGCUCUUCAAAAUGGAAUGUUCCUCUCAAAUCAUGUAACUUAAUGCAAGUUCUCUUUAACACUUGUACAAGUAACCUUUCCUUAAAGCUCACAGGACAAGAAAAUACAGGCGUUUUCCACUAA